UACGUAGGGUGCGAGCGUUAAUCGGAAUUACUGGGCGUAAAGCGUGCGCAGGCGGUAAGUUAAGUCUGAUGUGAAAGCCCCGGGCUCAACCUGGGAAUGGCAUUGGAAACUGGCUUGCUGGAGUGUGGCAGAGGGGGGUGGAAUUCCGCGUGUAGCAGUGAAAUGCGUAGAGAUUGGCAGGAACACCAAGGGCGAAAGCAGCCGACUGGGCACCACCUGACGCUGAGGUACGACAGCGUGGGGAGCGAACAGG
rnacentral:rRNA from 1 species